UAGGGAAUCUUCGGCAAUGGGGGGAACCCUGACCGAGCAACGCCGCGUGAGUGAAGAAGGUUUUCGGAUCGUAAAGCUCUGUUGUUAAGGAAGAACGAGUGUGAGAAUGGAAAGUUCAUACUGUGACGGUACUUAACCAGAAAGGGACGGCUAACUACGUGCCAGCAGCCGCGGUAAUACGUAGGUCCCGAGCGUUGUCCGGAUUUAUUGGGCGUAAAGCGAGCGCAGGUGGUUAGAUAAGUCUGAAGUUAAAGGCAGUGGCUCAACCAUUGUAGGCUUUGGAAACUGUUUAACUUGAGUGCAGAAGGGGAGAGUGGAAUUCCAUGUGUAGCGGUGAAAUGCGUAGAUAUAUGGAGGAACACCGGUGGCGAAAGCGGCUCUCUGGUCUGUAACUGACGCUGAGGCUCGAAAGCGUGGGGAGCGAACAGGAUUAGAUACCCUGGUAGUCCACGCCGUAAACGAUGAGUGCUAGGUGUUAGGUCCUUUCCGGGACUUAGUGCCGCAGCUAACGCAUUAAGCACUCCGCCUGGGGAGUACGACCGCAAGGUUG
rnacentral:rRNA from 1 species